AUAACGGUCCUAAGGUAGCGAAAUUCCUUGUCGGGUAAGUUCCGACCCGCACGAAAGGCGUAACGAUCUGGGCACUGUCUCAACGAGAGACUCGGUGAAAUUAUAGUACCUGUGAAGAUGCAGGUUACCCGCGACAGGACGGAAAGACCCCGUGGAGCUUUACUGUAGCCUGAUAUUGAAUUUUGGUACAGCUUGUACAGGAUAGGUAGGAGCCUGAGAAGCCGGAGCGCUAGCUUCGGUGGAGGCGUCGGUGGGAUACUACCCUGGCUGUAUUGAAAUUCUAACCCGCGGCCCUAAUCGGGCCGGGAGACAGUGUCAGGUGGGCAGUUUGACUGGGGCGGUCGCCUCCUAAAAUGUAACGGAGGCGCCCAAAGGUUCCCUCAGAAUGGUUGGAAAUCAUUCGUAGAGUGUAAAGGCACAAGGGAGCUUGACUGCGAGACCUACAAGUCGAGCAGGGACGAAAGUCGGGCUUAGUGAUCCGGUGGUUCCGCAUGGAAGGGCCAUCGCUCAACGGAUAAAAGCUACCCCGGGGAUAACAGGCUUAUCUCCCCCAAGAGUCCACAUCGACGGGGAGGUUUGGCACCUCGAUGUCGGCUCAUCGCAUCCUGGGGCUGUAGUCGGUCCCAAGGGUUGGGCUGUUCGCCCAUUAAAGCGGUACGCGAGCUGGGUUCAGAACGUCGUGAGACAGUUCGGUCCCUAUCCGUCGUGGGCGUAGGAAAUUUGAUAGGAGCUGUCCUUAGUACGAGAGGACCGGGAUGGACACACCG
rnacentral:rRNA from 1 species